AGGCAAUGAUGCAUAGCCGAGUUGAGAGACUGAUCGGCCACAUUGGGACUGAGACACGGCCCAAACUCCUACGGGAGGCAGCAGUAGGGAAUCUUCCACAAUGGACGAAAGUCUGAUGGAGCAACGCCGCGUGAGUGAAGAAGGGUUUCGGCUCGUAAAGCUCUGUUGGUAGUGAAGAAAGAUAGAGGUAGUAACUGGCCUUUAUUUGACGGUAAUUACUUAGAAAGUCACGGCUAACUACGUGCCAGCAGCCGCGGUAAUACGUAGGUGGCAAGCGUUGUCCGGAUUUAUUGGGCGUAAAGCGAGUGCAGGCGGUUCAAUAAGUCUGAUGUGAAAGCCUUCGGCUCAACCGGAGAAUUGCAUCAGAAACUGUUGAACUUGAGUGCAGAAGAGGAGAGUGGAACUCCAUGUGUAGCGGUGGAAUGCGUAGAUAUAUGGAAGAACACCAGUGGCGAAGGCGGCUCUCUGGUCUGCAACUGACGCUGAGGCUCGAAAGCAUGGGUAGCGAACAGGAUUAGAUACCCUGGUAGUCCAUGCCGUAAACGAUGAGUGCUAAGUGUUGGGAGGUUUCCGCCUCUCAGUGC
rnacentral:rRNA from 1 species